UGUGCCCUACGGGAGGCAGCAGUGGGGAAUUUUGGACAAUGGGCGCAAGCCUGAUCCAGCUAUUCCGCGUGUGGGAUGAAGGCCCUCGGGUUGUAAACCACUUUUGUAGAGAACGAAAAGACACCUUUUAAUAAAGGGUGUUGCUGACGGUACUCUAAGAAUAAGCACCGGCUAACUACGUGCCAGCAGCCGCGGUAAUACGUAGGGUGCGAGCGUUAAUCAGAAUUACUGGGCGUAAAGGGUGCGCAGGCGGUUGAGUAAGACAGAUGGUAAAUCCC
rnacentral:rRNA from 1 species